GUGCUCUUGGUGUAGUGGUAACACAUGUUCUAGAAAUAGUCGUGGAUAUAAGGCUGAUUUAUAAGCAAGUCUGGGGUUCGAAUCCCUGAGAGCACA